rnacentral:rRNA from 1 species
UACAGAGGGGGCAAGCGUUGUUCGGAAUUACUGGGCGUAAAGGGCUCGUAGGCGGCCAACUAAGUCAGACGUGAAAUCCCUCAGCUUAACUGGGGAACUGCGUCUGAUACUGGAUGGCUUGGAUUCGGGAGAGGAAUGCGGAAUUCCGCGUGUAGCAGUGAAAUGCGUAGAGAUGCGGAGGAACACCGAUGGCGAAGGCAGCCCCCUGGGCUAGCACUGACGCUCAGGCACGAAAGCGUGGGGAGCAAACAGG